rnacentral:rRNA from 1 species
UACGGAGGGACUAGCGUUGUUCGGAAUUACUGGGCGUAAAGCGCACGUAGGCGGAUUUGUAAGUCAGGGGUGAAAUCCCGGGGCUCAACCUCGGAACUGCCUUUGAUACUGCAAAUCUCGAGUCCGGAAGAGGUGAGUGGAAUUCCCGGUGUAGCGGUGAAAUGCGCAGAUAUCGGGAAGAACACCCGUGGCGAAGGCGGCUCUCUGGAACGCAACUGACGCUGAGACGCGAAAGCGUGGGGAGCAAACAGG